rnacentral:tRNA from 1 species
GGGCCUGUAGCUCAGUUGGUUAGAGCAGAGGACUCAUAAUCCUUUGGUCGUCAGUUCAAGUCUGACCGGGCCCACCA